CUGACUGCCAACAGCUACUUCCUCAAACUGAACACUGCAAAGCCAAGUGCUUUACCAGACCUCCAGGAACCUCUGUAACACUCUCCUUCCAGUCUGGAAACAGCCAUCUAGAAACCGAAAUAAGCCGGAAAAAUCAAGCCAAGAGCUAGAGGGAGCUAGCACACUUCUUUCAGGUGGGACUGGGCUCGCGGUUCAAGUUCUGGCAGAGCCGGAUUCAUUUGGAGUGGCAAUCUGAUUUACAACCCCCAAUAUCAAGGCAGCUGCGGAAGCACAAGUCUUAAGCAUAUGCCCAAGAAAAAGGAACAGGAAGCGAUGGGAAUGUCAAAAGAGCCCUGGGGGUAAGUGCUUGUUCCUGGAUCUGUGAGAUGGGAAAGUGGUAAUUCUAGGAAAAGUGCGCGGCGGUGGGCCAACUCCGGGGUCCCAAACGUGGGCACUGAACAAGGUACUUUCACGCCCCCUUGCGGACCCAAGUGACACCUGAAACCAAGUGUGCCAAUCAAGGGAUAGGUAAAGAACUGGGAAAGGUUUUGGAAGAGAAGCAACCCGUCAAAGCACUCGCAGAUAUGCUCCAGGUUUUACAUAAAAGUAACCUGAAGCUCCAAUGAGGGAAGCAUGUCUUGCUAGAAAAAAAGGAAAGCUGAACCGAAGGCACUCAUGGGUGCUGGAGCCUUCUAUCUGGAAGCGCAGGGACUGGGGUCCCAUCCGAAAUCUCUUCUUUUUGGAGCGAGCAGACUAGACAGUCAUCAGGAACACCUGGCAAGGGGGUUUGCACGCACUGAGUGGUGGCGAGUCGGAGGGACGCAUGGCUGCAGCAGUCCAGCUAGGGCGCAGCCUGCACCGCGCGUUCCCGGCAUCGGUCCCCGCAGCCUGGCUGAAGCUGCUAGCCUCCGGGCUGCAGUAGCCAGGCACCCGUGCAGCGCGACCCAACCAUCCCACUCGCUCGCAACUGUCCCUACGCCCCGCGCGACACGCCUGCCACGAGCCAGAUGGCGUGUGCGCUCCGGACCGCGGCGGGCAUAGGGCAAUCGAGAGCCCAUCUACUGAGUGCCUUUCCUUACCGGAGCUGCUCUCCCGUAACUAGGACUUCAGCCAUGCGUUCCAGCUCUCUCUGCUGCACCCCGCCGCUCCCGCCGGCGUUGCUGUCGCUGCUACCACUGCCGCCGCUGCUGCCCUCUUCCAUGUUCCUGACCGCGCGGUUGCCACUCUGCCUUUGCUGUCCCGGCGGGUGCGCCUGGCGUUUGGAUCAAUGUGCCCUCCCCGAGGCCGCCCCGGCCAUCUUUGUUCCGGGCGGUGCCGUGGCUCAGACGCGAUUGGCUGGUGAGGGAAUCCCUGCGGGCAUGGCGACACACUUAUGUUCCCAGAACUUCAGAAGAUGAUCAUGAGUUUGGACCAGACUGGGAUAAGAAGAUACCUUGUCUCAUAAAACAAACUAAAACCAAAAACAGCUUAACUGACAAAAGCAAGCAAUACAAUAAACCGUUAGAAGAGCAGGUUAGGGGCUGGAGAGAUGGCUCAGCUGUUAAGAGCACUGACUCACUCCUCUUCCAGGUGUCCUGAGUUCAAAUCCCAGUAACCACAUGGUGGCUCACAACCAUCUGUAAUGGGAUUUGAUACCCUCUUCUGGUGUGUCUGAAGACAGCCACAUCGACAGUGUACUCACACAUAUAAAAUAAAUAAAUCUUUAAAAGAAGAAGAGGAGGAGGGGGGGGUGAGGAGGAGGAGGAGAAAGAGGAGGAGGUUAAACAUAUUUGAAUGGCCGAGCUGGUCUACCAUGUUCAUUAAAAGUCAUCACUGUGUCUCUUCGUUUUUAGUUUGUAAACUUCAACAUAGCUUGACUGGGAAGUCAUGGCUUCCGCGGCCAUACACAUUUGUUGAAGUAUCUUUGGAUUUGCCUUUUGGAAGAUACAGGUACUUGUGUCUACGAUAACUGUCACAAUCUUCAGGAAGUGUCAGUAUAUAACAAAACAUAUGCUGCUGUGAAUGUUACUUGACAUUCCUGAAGACUAGGCUCUGAACCUGCUAGGGUCACAAAAGUAGAGCAUUUAGUACUUUGCAAGGUCCAUUCUCUGGUAAACAAAACUAUUGUUUGGGGUAGAAUCUUGCUGUGUAGCCCAGGAUAGCAUCAAACCCUUGAUCCCCCUGCCUCAGUCUCCAAAGUGCUGGAAUUAUAAGACCUGAACACCAUGCUCUGUUCUAUUUUUUCCUCCAAAGGUAAAUUUUUUCCUCAAAGGUAAAUAUUUUAAAAGAUGCACCAAUGGAGAGAGGUUUCAGUUCAAAGUAUUCUAAGAGCCCCAUAGCAUAAACAUUAAGUGACAGAGGGAGAUGGCCUAGACUUAAUGAGGGUAACAGCUGUCUGUCUGUCUGUUUGUUUUUGCUUGGUUUGUCAAGGUAAGGUUUCUCUGUGCAGCCUGGCUGGCCUGGAACUCACUCUGGAGAUCAGGCUGACCUAAAACUCAGAGGGCUGCCUGCCUCUGCCUCCAGAGUGGUAGGAUUAAAGGCGUGCGCCACUAUGCCCAGCUGCUGGUUCUCAGGUUUUAAAUCUUAUACUUACUAUACAGAAUAUUGAGAUUUGUUUCAUUCACCCAUGCAAUCUUGGUCCUCGCCGACCAUUGUCCAAGUUUAUAAUUUUAUGUCAGUCACUAAAGCUCUUUGAAUUUCAAUUUUCUAUUGAUAAGACGAAAAGUAAUUUUUACUUUCUAGGGAUGGUCUGUGACAUUCAUGAAAUAACAGUUCAAUAAAUAAAGUUUUGAAG
rnacentral:lncRNA from 1 species